GUGAGGAAUAUUGCGCAAUGGAGGCAACUCUGACGCAGCCAUGCCGCGUGCAGGAAGAAGGCGCUACGCGUUGUAAACUGCUUUUAACCGGGAAGAAACCCCAGGACGUGUCCUGGGUUGACGGUACCGGAGGAAUAAGCACCGGCUAACUUCGUGCCAGCAGCCGCGGUAAUACGAAGGGUGCAAGCGUUAUCCGGAUUCAUUGGGUUUAAAGGGUGCGUAGGCGGAGCGUUAAGUCAGUGGUGAAAUCCUGCAGCUUAACUGUAGACUUGCCAUUGAUACUGGCGCUCUUGAGUGCGCUUGAAGUGGGCGGAAUGUGCCGUGUAGCGGUGAAAUGCUUAGAUAUGGCACAGAACACCAAUUGCGAAGGCAGCUCACUAAGGCGAUACUGACGCUGAGGCACGAAAGCGUGGGGAUCGAACAUGAUUAGAAACCCCGGUAGUCC
rnacentral:rRNA from 1 species